rnacentral:ncRNA from 1 species
CGCAUCUACUCCACAAAACAUAGAUGAGAGCCGCCAAGAAAGGAGUUCACCGUUCCGCACGGCUUGCGGUGCGGCAGUGUGGAGACCUGCCGUAAUGCGUCGCGCUCCGACGCGGGCGGACGCGAGGCACGGACAAGCGGAGGCUUUCGUGUCAAAGUCGGUUACAUGGCA